CCUACGGGAGGCAGCAGUGGGGAAUAUUGGACAAUGGGCGAAAGCCUGAUCCAGCCAUGCCGCGUGUUGAAGAAGGCCUUUUGGUUGUAAAGCACUUUAAGCGAGGAGGAGGCUACUUAGAUUAAUACUCUAGGAUAGUGGACGUUACUCGCAGAAUAAGCACCGGCUAACUCUGUGCCAGCCAGCCGCGGUAAUACAGAGGGUGCGAGCGUUAAUCGGAUUUACUGGGCGUAAAGCGUGCGUAGGCGGCUUCUUAAGUCGGAUGUGAAAUCCCUGAGCUUAACUUAGGAAUUGCAUUCGAUACUGGGAAGCUAGAGUAUGGGAGAGGAUGGUAGAAUUCCAGGUGUAGCGGUGAAAUGCGUAGAGAUCUGGAGGAAUACCGAUGGCGAAGGCAGCCAUCUGGCCUAAUACUGACGCUGAGGUACGAAAGCAUGGGGAGCAAACAGGAUUAGAUACCCUGGUAGUCCAUGCCGUAAACGAUGUCUACUAGCCGUUGGGGCCUUUGAGGCUUUAGUGGCGCAGCUAACGCGAUAAGUAGACCGCCUGGGGAGUACGGUCGCAAGACUAAAACUCAAAUGAAUUGACGGGGGCCCGCACAAGCGGUGGAGCAUGUGGUUUAAUUCGAUGCAACGCGAAGAACCUUACCUGGUCUUGACAUAGUAAGAACUUUCCAGAGAUGGAUUGGUGCCUUCGGGAACUUACAUACAGGUGCUGCAUGGCUGUCGUCAGCUCGUGUCGUGAGAUGUUGGGUUAAGUCCCGCAACGAGCGCAACCCUUUUCCUUAUUUGCCAGCGGGUUAAGCCGGGAACUUUAAGGAUACUGCCAGUGACAAACUGGAGGAAGGCGGGGACGACGUCAAGUCAUCAUGGCCCUUACGACCAGGGCUACACACGUGCUACAAUGGUCGGUACAAAGGGUUGCUACCUAGCGAUAGGAUGCUAAUCUCAAAAAGCCGAUCGUAGUCCGGAUUGGAGUCUGCAACUCGACUCCAUGAAGUCGGAAUCGCUAGUAAUCGCGGAUCAGAAUGCCGCGGUGAAUACGUUCCCGGGCCUUGUACACACCGCCCGUCACACCAUGGGAAUUUGUUGCACCAGAAGUAGGUAGUCUAACCGCAAGGAGGACGC
rnacentral:rRNA from 1 species